CGGACCACCAAUUCAACGGGUCUCGCUCCUCCCUCUAACUUCCACCUCGAGGAGGUCCCACAACACCCCAAUGAAUGGACGGACAACCAAGAUUAAAAUGUAACAAUUUUAUUUGUUUAAAAGUUUGGGGAAAGGGGUAAGGAAACUUUAAAACUAAUGAUGACUCGAACUAUUCUUUAUCCACAAAUACGGAUUCCAGUCUCAAGAACACUCCUCUUCAGCCCUUCCUCGACAACACUCCACUUCAGCCCUUAAUUUCCCGCCGACUCCACUCCAGGUAAGUUUAAAGCAAGAGCUAGGCAGUUGACGUGCAGGGGUUCUAGCUCUCAGGUAAAUACAGUGUUCGAUACACAGGUGGGUAUUCACAGGGCUGGGCUGUUAGCGUGCAGGGGUUCUAGCUCUCAGGUAAGUACAGUGUUCGAUACACAGGUAAGUAUUCACAGGGCUGAGCUGUUAGCGUGCAGGGGUUCUAGCUCUCAAUGUAAGUACAGUGUUCCAUACACAGGUAAGUAUUCACAGGGCUGGGCUGUUAGCGUGCAGGGGUUCUAGCUCUCAGGUAAAUACAGUGUUCGAUACACAGGUGGGUAUUCACAGGGCUGGGCUGUUAGCGUGCAGGGGUUCUAGCUCUCAGGUAAGUACAGUGUUCGAUACACAGGUAAGUAUUCACAGGGCUGAGCUGUUAGCGUGCAGGGGUUCUAGCUCUCAAUGUAAGUACAGUGUUCCAUACACAGGUGGGUAUUCACAGGGCUGAGCUGUUAAUGCGCUACUCACCACUGAAGAUAUUCAGAGGUCUGUAUUCCAAGCAGAUACGGGUUUAGUCGAUGACUGACGGCUGGUGGGCCUUACAGGUGAAACUGCAAACAAUACUGGGCUUCCCGCCCAGCUUGACAAGGGGGCACACGGGGGAGGAUCGGCUGUUGUCCUUCGAGGGAUUGCUGCGUGGGCAACGACAUCCAACCUCCUCCAGAGGCGUCUCCAACACGUCCGAGCUCCAGCUUACUUAAGGUAAAGACUGUGGUUGCCACCAAUACACUACUCCUCUCCGUCAGGCCUCUUCCUACGACCAGGGACACAACCACGGACAAACACCACACACCACAAAGGCACUACAAUUCUUCUCGUGUGUACACUUCAAUAUAGCAGCACUCACCACACUCCACACACUCAGUGAAAGAAGGUCGGUGGUGUAUUCCCGUUUCGGGCUCAGAGUCCUGACAGGGCGGGUCAGAUGGACAAAGGCAGGAGGGCAGACCACAGCAGACAGAUAUAUCGUACACCGGAGUCUCUCCGUCUUCCCCAGCGGUCUCCAACGCAAGGCACUACUAUCAACACUGAGUAAACACACAAGCACUGAGGAUUAUCAGAUCAACACAAGAGGGGGGGGGGGGGGAUUUUCCACUGCUACGGAGAGAUAUGCAGUCGGAAUCCUUUCUUAAAGGCAGUUAGUCUCCUUCCACAUCCGUCAUUCACUCUCCACAAUAUACAAGAAAUGUUCGUAAAGUCUUCACCCACCAGUGCACAAUGUUGUCCUCUCCCAACACGAAUUCAAUGAU